GACGAACGCUGGCGGCGUGCUUAACACAUGCAAGUCGUACGGUAAGGCCCUUUCGGGGGUACACGAGUGGCGAACGGGUGAGUAACACGUGCGUAACCUGCCCACAACUUUGGGAUAACGCUAGGAAACUGGUGCUAAUACUGGAUAUGUGCUCCUGCUGCAUGGUGGGGGUUGGAAAGCUCCGGCGGUUGUGGAUGGACUCGCGGCCUAUCAGCUUGUUGGUGGGGUAGUGGCCUACCAAGGCGGCGACGGGUAGCCGGCCUGAGAGGGUGACCGGCCACAUUGGGACUGAGAUACGGCCCAGACUCCUACGGGAGGCAGCAGUGGGGAAUAUUGCACAAUGGGCGCAAGCCUGAUGCAGCAACGCCGCGGGCGGGAUGACGGCCUUCGGGUUGUAAACCGCUUUCAGCAGGGACGAAGCUUUUUGUGACGGUACCUGCAGAAGAAGCACCGGCUAACUACGUG
rnacentral:rRNA from 1 species